AUAGGAAGUGGUUUGACAGUGAACAGGACACUGAGAAAACGCCUCCCGGACAAAGGGAUGUGUAAGCGAAGAGGCGAAGGAAAUUCCAGAAUGCAGUUUCUUCAGAAACACCCACCGGGCGCUUGGCAGGGAUCACAUGGAAUCAGCAGUUCAGCAUACAAGUUUCUGAGACUCCACAACACGCCACGUUAUACACAACCAUGAUUCCAUCCAGAUUUUGGUAUACUGCUCAGGUUUUCUACACGGAUGAAUGUGCUGUCUGCCAAAACCAGCCAUCUUCUCACAUCAGAGUCUUUGCUUUUGCUCUAUGCUGUGCGUGCUAAAAACUUCAGCGCAGAGUGGCUGCAGGGCUCAGACCAAGAUGCAGCUGAACACCGACCACGGAUUGUGCCUUCAGACCAUGGCCAGGACAGAGCACCACCACUCUCCUCAUUCCUGCCUUCUCAUGGAGGAUGCUGCCCCAGAAGCAUCAGGGGAGCCCUCUUCUGCCCCUUGUCACUCUAGGGUCCUCUACUGAGAAACUUCAACACUACAAUGAAGAAAGUCUGCUAGAAAUUCUGUCCAGUGCUGUGGAGUAAAUACUGAAGGGUGAACCUGGGGCCAACAAUGAACUGAUAGCCUGACACAGUGCAGUUAAAUAGUUGACCUCCCCAGAAUUCUCUUACAAGAUUCUGGAAAAGAACUGGAUUCAUUUCCUUCCUUCCUUCCUUUCUUUCUUUCUUGCUUUUUUUUUUUAAUAUAUAGGGAACCUGAGUCUCACAUUAAAUUUAAGUUUGCUCAAAUUUAAAGAAAUUUCAAGUUAAAUUGUGUAGGCCUUAUAUCAAAAUAGCCAGUUAUAUUAUUAAACAAUAUUAAAUUGUACUAGAAAUAAAAAACAUAGAAGAGCAGCAAAAAAAGAAUAGACCCCAGAGAGUUAGCAGAAUUGCACAUUUCUAGGCUUUCAACGAGUGAAUUAAAGAGGGAAUACGUAAACUGUACUCAGAUCUCAAGAACAAUUAUCAGGACUCAAACAGAUGGGAGCAGGGCAAUGGUUUCAUGAAAGAAAACAACAAAAAAAAGUCUGUUAAUAUUACGCUAAAAUCUCAUGAAAAUUGGAAGAGAAAAUAUGAAAGCUUAAAUGUUAGUGGGAAAGGAACAUGAAUAGAAGAUUCACAAAGUAUUAAUCAGCAUAAGAAGUAGAUGAGAAAAUUUCAACUUACUUGCUCUUAUUGAGAUGCAAAUUAUAACUGUAAUAGGGUCUAUUU